rnacentral:tRNA from 1 species
AUUACUUUGGCAGAUUAGUGCAUUAAAUUUAGAAUUUAAAAAUAAAUAAUUUUAUGUAAUA